GGGCUGAGGGGUGGGAGGAAACAAUCACCGUUUUCCUGAGAGGACCUUAAGUUCAUUCAGGCAUCUACCUUCCUGUGUGCAACUCAUGCCUCAGGGAAGCUAAUUCCAUCCUCAGCUCCAGGGAGUGGAUCUAAUUGGUCUACAUGGGAAGAGGAAAUCACAAAGCAGAACAAUCCCAGAAGAGGCAACACUAAACCUCAAGGAUCUAGAUCUAAUUACCAAUUUACAAAAAGUAUAAGGGAUGUGUAAAUAACACACCAGUAUGCAAUCAGCAAAUUCAGAACAUGGAAAAUGCUCAAAUGCUGUAGGACAAAUGACCUGGUUUCUUUAACAAAUAUAUUUCAGGGAAAAAGAGAGGAAAACUAUAGAUUAAA